UGAUGAUUGGAGUGAUUUAGGAA
rnacentral:siRNA from 1 species